rnacentral:rRNA from 1 species
AGUGAAUAGAUACCCCGGUAGUCCUAGCCGUAAACGAUACUCGCUAGGCGUCGGCCACGGUGCGACCGUUGUCGGUGCCGUAGGGAAAGCCGUGAAGCGAGCCACCUGGGAAGUACGGCCGCAAGGCUGAAACUUAAAGGAAUUGGCGGGGGAGCACCACAACGGGUGGAGCUUGCGGUUUAAUUGGAUUCAACGCCGGAAAUCUUACCGGGACCGACAGCAACAUGAAGGCCAGGCUGAAGACUUUGCCGGAUUAGCUGAGAGGUGGUGCAUGGCCGUCGUCAGUUCGUACUGUGAAAGCAUCCUGUUAAGUCAGGCAACGAGCGAGACCCACGCCCACAGUUGCCAGCGUACUCUCCGGAGUGACGGGUACACUGUGGGGACCGCCGCUGCUAAAGCGGAGGAAGGAAUGGGCAACGGUAGGUCAGUAUGCCCCGAAUAUCCCGGGCUACACGCGAGCUACAAUGGUUGGUACAAUGGGUAUCUACCCCGAAAGGGGAUGGAAAUCUCCUAAAGCCAAUCUUAGUUCGGAUUGAGGGCUGCAACUCGCCCUC